rnacentral:tRNA from 1 species
GCAAAUGUAGCUCAGUUGGUAGAGCGGCUGAAUUGUAAUCAGCUGGUCCGGGGUUCGAGGCCUCGCAUUUGCU